rnacentral:lncRNA from 1 species
CAUCCCUGGCUGGGCCAGCCUCUUCAAUCCUGGGUUUCUUUCUGAUGCUGUCACCGGCGUGGCUAUUGUCACCAUCUUGUUCUUCUUCCCGUCCCAAAGGCCCUCUCUCAAGUGGUGGUUUGACUUCAAAGGUAAGGUGGUCAAGGCUGGGGUCUCGGUGGGCUCAGUGAGGACUGCGGCAUGGAGUGUGGUCAUCAAGGGCCUGGAGCCCCCCACUGCACUAACCACGUGGUCCUUCCUGCUUCUCCUUUCACUGUCUGAGCCAUUGCCUUGUCUGGGGACUGAGGGCUGCCCCAGGUGGUAGUCCAGGACAGGGGUUAGCAACUACAGUCUUCAGACCAAAUCCAGCCUGCUAUCUGUUUUUGAACAGCCUGUGAGCUAAGCACAGUUUUCAGAUUUUUAAAUGGUUGAAAAAAAAACCAAAAGAAAAACAUUUUACUACAUGUGAAAGUUACAUGAAAUCUAAAUUUCAGUGUCCAUGUAUCAAAUUUUGCUUUCCCCUAAGGAAUUUGUGGAAAUUUAUUUUCUUUAGUUAUAUAAGUACCUACACAAUAGCCUCAAUUUUGCCUCUUGGCCCACAAAAGCAAAAAAUGUUUAUUUUUCUUGUCCUUUGCAGAAAAAUGACCCCUUGGCCCAAAGCAGGAGUUGCACCUUGGUUGCCCAGGGAGCCACACAUGGAAAACACAAGCUGGGUUUCAACCGUAUAGGAAGUGUUGGGGACUGAGGAAAAACUGCCUAAAGGCAUUCAGAUUCCAUUUUUAAAAAAUCACUGAGUACCUCUAACCAAAAUGU